UACGUAGGGUGCAAGCGUUGUCCGGAAUCAUUGGGCGUAAAGAGCGUGUAGGCGGCCCGAUAAGUCCGCUGUGAAAGUCCAGGGCUCAACCCUGGAAUGCCGGUGGAUACUGUCGGGCUAGAGUCCGGAAGGGGCGAGUGGAAUUCCUGGUGUAGCGGUGAAAUGCGCAGAUAUCGGGAAGAACACCCGUGGCGAAGGCGGCUCUCUGGGACGGUACUGACGCUGAGACGCGAAAGCGUGGGGAGCGAACAGG
rnacentral:rRNA from 1 species